UACGUAGGGUGCAGGCGUUAAUCGGAAUUACUGGGCGUAAAGCGUGCGCAGGCGGUUUGCUAAGAGAGAUGUGAAAUCCCCGGGCUUAACCUGGGAAUGGCAUCCGAUACUGGUGGGCUGGAGUGCGGUAGAGGAGAGCGGAAUUCCCGGUGUAGCGGUGAAAUGCGUAGAGAUCGGGAGGAACAUCCGUGGCGAAGGCGGCUCUCUGGACCAGCACUGACGUUGAGGCACGAAAGCGUGGGGAGCAAACAGG
rnacentral:rRNA from 1 species